rnacentral:rRNA from 1 species
GAUGAACGCUGGCGGCGUGCCUAAUACAUGCAAGUCGAGCGAACGGACGAGAAGCUUGCUUUUCUGAUGUUAGCGGCGGACGGGUGAGUAACACGUGGAUAACCUACCUAUAAGACUGGGAUAACUUCGGGAAACCGGAGCUAAUACCGGAUAAUAUUUUGAACCGCAUGGUUCAAAAGUGAAAGACGGUCUUGCUGUCACUUAUAGAUGGAUCCGCGCUGCAUUAGCUAGUUGGUAAGGUAACGGCUUACCAAGGCAACGAUGCAUAGCCGACCUGAGAGGGUGAUCGGCCACACUGGAACUGAGACACGGUCCAGACUCCUACGGGAGGCAGCAGUAGGGAAUCUUCCGCAAUGGGCGAAAGCCUGACGGAGCAACGCCGCGUGAGUGAUGAAGGUCUUCGGAUCGUAAAACUCUGUUAUUAGGGAAGAACAUAUGUGUAAGUAACUGUGCACAUCUUGACGGUACCUAAUCAGAAAGCCACGGCUAACUACGUGCCAGCAGCCGCGGUAAUACGUAGGUGGCAAGCGUUAUCCGGAAUUUUAUGGGCGUAAGCGCGCGUAGGCGGUUUUUUAAGUCUGAUGUGAAAGCCCACGGCUCAUCCGUGGAGGGUCAUUGGAAACUGGAAAACUUGAGUGCAGAAGAGGAAAGUGGAAUUCCAUGUGUAGCGGUGAAAUGCGCAGAGAUAUGGAGGAACACCAGUGGCGAAGGCGACUUUCUGGUCUGUAACUGACGCUGAUGUGCGAAAGCGUGGGGAUCAAACAGGAUUAGAUACCCUGGUAGUCCACGCCGUAAACGAUGAGUGCUAAGUGUUAGGGGGUUUCCGCCCCUUAGUGCUGCAGCUAACGCAUUAAGCACUCCGCCUGGGGAGUACGACCGCAAGGUUGAAACUCAAAGGAAUUGACGGGGACCCGCACAAGCGGUGGAGCAUGUGGUUUAAUUCGAAGCAACGCGAAGAACCUUACCAAAUCUUGACAUCCUUUGACAACUCUAGAGAUAGAGCCUUCCCCUUCGGGGGACAAAGUGACAGGUGGUGCAUGGUUGUCGUCAGCUCGUGUCGUGAGAUGUUGGGUUAAGUCCCGCAACGAGCGCAACCCUUAAGCUUAGUUGCCAUCAUUAAGUUGGGCACUCUAAGUUGACUGCCGGUGACAAACCGGAGGAAGGUGGGGAUGACGUCAAAUCAUCAUGCCCCUUAUGAUUUGGGCUACACACGUGCUACAAUGGACAAUACAAAGGGCAGCGAAACCGCGAGGUCAAGCAAAUCCCAUAAAGUUGUUCUCAGUUCGGAUUGUAGUCUGCAACUCGACUACAUGAAGCUGGAAUCGCUAGUAAUCGUAGAUCAGCAUGCUACGGUGAAUACGUUCCCCGGGCUU